rnacentral:rRNA from 1 species
AUUGAACGCUGGCGGCAUGCCUUACACAUGCAAGUCGAACGGCAGCGGACCUUCGGGUGCCGGCGAGUGGCGAACGGGUGAGUAAAGUAUCGGAACGUACCUUUCAGUGGGGGAUAACUGUCCGAAAGGACAGCUAAUACCGCAUAUUCUGUGAGCAGGAAAGCAGGGGAUCGCAAGACCUUGCGCUGAUUGAGCGGCCGAUAUCAGAUUAGCUAGUUGGUGAGGUAAAGGCUCACCAAGGCGACGAUCUGUAGCGGGUCUGAGAGGAUGAUCCGCCACACUGGAACUGAGACACGGUCCAGACUCCUACGGGAGGCAGCAGUGGGGAAUUUUGGACAAUGGGGGCAACCCUGAUCCAGCCAUGCCGCGUGAGUGAAGAAGGCCUCGGUUGUAAG